rnacentral:rRNA from 1 species
UAUUGCACAAUGGGCGAAAGCCUGGUGCAGCAACGCCGCGCGAGGGAUGACGGCCUUCGGGUUGUAAACCUCUUUUAGUAGGGAAGAAGCGUACGUGACGGUACCUGCAGAAAAAGCACCGGCUAACUACGUGCCGGCAGCCGCGGUAAUACGUAGGGUGCAAGCGUUGUCCGGAAUUAUUGGGCGUAAAGAGCGCGUAGGCGGUUUGUCGCGUCUGCUGUGAAAUCCCGAGGCUCAACCUCGGGCUUGCAGUGGGUACGGGCAGACUAGAGUGCGGGAGGGGAGAGUGGAAUUCCUGGUGUAGCGGUGGAAUGCGCAGAUAUCAGGAGGAACACCGAUGGCGAAGGCAGAUCUCUGGGCCGUAACUGACGCUGAGGAGCGAAAGCGUGGGGAGCGAACAG